UACGAAGGGGGCUAGCGUUGCUCGGAAUCACUGGGCGUAAAGCGCACGUAGGCGGCUUCUUAAGUCAGGGGUGAAAUCCUGGAGCUCAACUCCAGAACUGCCUUUGAUACUGAGAAGCUUGAGUCCGGAGAGGUGAGUGGAACUGCGAGUGUAGAGGUGAAAUUCGUAGAUAUCAGGAGGAACACCGGUGGCGAAGGCGGCCCUCUGGACGGUGACUGACGCUGAGAACGAGAACGUGGGAGCAAACAGG
rnacentral:rRNA from 1 species